rnacentral:rRNA from 1 species
CCGCAGGUGCAAGCACGGCGACGUGUUCAGCCGAGCGGUACUAAUUGCCCGGGAUGUUCC